rnacentral:misc_RNA from 1 species
CUACUAUGUCUAAGCUUUCCAUGGCUCUAAAAAUCAGGUCAUUUGGACCUUCCUACAUCAAGUUAUGGUCAUUUCUGUACAGUGGCAAUGUGCCAAUUCUGGAUUUGACCUAAUUGUUCACUAACUUAGAGUCACUUUCUCGGCAUGGUUUCUGCACAAAAAUUGUGACAUUAUGUGUCUACUUUCAUCUCCAAUUGGUCUCACAUCAAUUGGAGUGACAGAAUUACAGUUUUGGUCCCUAAAAUGGGCCUAGGUCAGGCUGUCCAGUAGUGACCCCUUAACAAUCCGAAUUUGACUUAACUUCU